AGUGAACGCUGGCGGUAGGCCUAACACAUGCAAGUCGAACGGCAGCACAGUAAGAGCUUGCUCUUACGGGUGGCGAGUGGCGGACGGGUGAGGAAUACAUCGGAAUCUACUUUUUCGUGGGGGAUAACGUAGGGAAACUUACGCUAAUACCGCAUACGACCUACGGGUGAAAGCAGGGGAUCUUCGGACCUUGCGCGAUUGAAUGAGCCGAUGUCGGGUUAGCUAGUUGGCGGGGUAAAGGCCCACCAAGGCGACGAUCCGUAGCUGGUCUGAGAGGAUGAUCAGCCACACUGGAACUGAGACGCGGUCCAGACUCCUACGUGAGGCAGCAGUCGGGAAUAGUGGACAAUGGGCGCAAGCCUGAUCCAGCCAUACCGCGUCGGUGGAGAAGACCUUCGGGUUGUAAAGCCCUUUUUCUGGGAAAGAAAAGCAGCAGGUUAAUACCCCGCUGUUCUGACGGUACCCAAUGAAUAAGCACCGGCUAACUUCGUG
rnacentral:rRNA from 1 species